CAGGUCAGCAUACUGCGGUGAAUACGUUCCCGGGCCUUGUACACACCGCCCGUCACACCAUGGAAGUUGGCCAUGCCCGAAGUCGUUACUCCACCCUUGUGGGAGGAGGACGCCGAAGGUGGGGCUAAUGACUGGGGUGAAGUCGUAACAAGGUAGCCGUACCGGAAGGUGCGGCUGGAUCACCUCCUAACAGGGAGACAACAAAAUUUUUAAUAUUAUUAUUUUGUCACCUUAGGUCGAUCGGUAUCUCACGUUUUUAAUUUAUUAAGAAUUUCAUUUCCUAAGUUUUUCUAGGUCACACCCAUUAUUUUUCCUGGGCCAUUAGCUCAGGUGGUUAGAGCGCACCCCUGAUAAGGGUGAGGUCCCUGGUUCAAGUCCAGGAUGGCCCAUAUCUCUAUGUUGGGGGUAUAGCUCAGUUGGUAGAGCGCCUGCUUUGCAAGCAGGAUGUCAGCGGUUCGAGUCCGCUUACCUCCACUGAUCACCACCUCUUCCAUAAUCGGUAGAAAGGAAAUUUUUUGAGUUGUGAUCAAAUUCUGAAAGAAUCUAGCUUCCUAAUGAAAUCAUUAAGAUGCUGGACUCAUUGAAUUAAUUUCAUUGUUUUCAGAGAACCUUGACAACUGCAUAGAUUAUUUUUAAAGACAAUAAGCAUCUUUAAUGAUGCAGAUUUAUUAUUUGUGCAAAUGCAUUAAUAACAAUUCUAUUAAGCUGAUGCUUCAAUAUUUGAAGUUAUUGGUCAAGCUACAAAGGGCUCACGGAGGAUACCUAGGCACACAGAGGCGAUGAAGGACGUGGUUACCUGCGAUAAGUCUCGGGGAGUGG
rnacentral:misc_RNA from 1 species